AUGGAGGGCAGGUGGGCUCAGGCUCUCCCGGGGCUCCUGAGCCUGGGUGAGGCUGCGUCAGGCCGGGUCGGCUUCAACCAGACUUGGACUCUCAGCGCGGCAGGAGGUGGCAUCUGUUCUGUGCCCAGAGGAGUUAAGUGGAUCCCCCAGAAGUCACAAGCUGGCGAGUGGCAGAGCCAGGACUUUCAACCCCUACACCGGGGCUCCCUCCCAAGUCUCAGGAGGGGCUAAUUUCACCAGGACACAGGGCAGGAGCUGACGCUGACGCUCGUGGGUGGGAGCCCCAGGGCUGUUGGCGAAGGACUGCGAGAGCCCACAAAGAUGGGACAGGGGGCGGGUCCGGGAGGGAGAGGACCUGGCCCAGGGAGCAAGGAGCCUGCGCAUCAGAACAGCCCAGGCCCGGGUUCAGGUGAGCAGGUCUAACGGCAGAGCCACCGGGGCCGGCCCCACGAGAGCACAGCUCGGACCUCACACCACGAAACGCGCACAGGGCUCCCAGAGGCUGCGGGCCAGAAGGUGGAACCCGGAUGGAGCGGUCCUGCCUCGAUUCCCCUCCCCUCGGCCUCAAUAAGGGAAAUAAACGAACCGAGGAGGAGGAGCGGGGAGCGGGAGCUCCCUCUGGAUGUCUUUUAAUUGCCUUGCUGUGAUUGCCUAUUUAAGCCCACCUGGCAGAAAGAGGAGUAAAAGCACUUCACCCUCCUUGGGGGGCCCUGCGAGAAAGGCGAGCCAGAGCUGAGCCAGCAGGGAGGAGGCUGCGGGGCAAGGUGUGUGUGCAUUGGGGUGAGGGGAAGCCGACUCCCCAGGAAGGACACGACCAAGCUU